rnacentral:lncRNA from 1 species
UGCUUAUGAAGCUUAGUUUGGCUGGAUAUGAAAUUCUGGGUUGAAAAUUAUUUUCUUUAAGAAUGUUGAAUAUUGGCCCCAAUCUCUUAGAGAUCGACUGUUAGUCUUAUGGGCUUCCCUUUGUCGGUAACCCGACUUUUCUCUCUGGCUGCCCUUAACAUUUUUUCCUUCAUUUCAACUUUGGUGAAUCUGACAAUUAUAUGUCUUGGGGUUGCUCUUUUUGAGGAGUAUCUUUGUGGUAUUCUCUGUAUUUUCUGAAUUUGAACGUUGGCCUGUCUUAUUAGGUUGGAGAAGAUCUCCUGGAUAAUAUCCUGAAGAGUGUUUUCCAACUUGGUUCCAUUCUCCCCAUCACUUUCAGGUACAACAAUCAAAUGUAGAUUUCGUCUUUUUACAUAGUCCCAUAUUUCUUGGAUGCUUUGUUCAUUCCUUUCUAUUCUUUUUUCUCUAAUCUUGUCUUGUUGCCCUAUUUCUUUAAGUUGUUUUUCAAUCACUGAUAUCCAUUCUUCUGCUUCAUCAAUUCAGCUAUUGAUACUUGUGUAUACUUCAUGAAGUUCUUGUGCUGUGUUUUUCAGCUCCAUCAGGUCAUUUAAGUUUUUCUCUAAACUGGUUAUUCUAGUUAGCAAUUCAUCUAACCUUUUUUCAAGGUUUUUAGCUUCCUUCCAUUGGGUUAGAACAUUCUCCUUCAGCUCAGAGGAGUUUGUUAUUACCCACCUUCUGAAUCUUACUUCUGUCAAUUCGUCAAACUCAUUCUCCAUCCAGUUUUGUUCCUUUGCUGGCAAGGAGUUUUCAUCCUUUGGAGGAGGAGAGGCAUUCUGGUUUUUGGAAUUUUAAGCCUUUUUUCCCUGGGUUCUCCCAAUCUUUGUGGAUUUAUCUACCUUUAGUCUUUGAUGUUGGUGACCUUUGGAUGGGGUCUUUGAGUGGACGUGCUAUUCCUUUCUGUGUGUUAGUUUUCCUUCUAACAGUCUUGCCCCUCUGCUGCAGGUCUGCUGGAGUUUGCUGGAGGUCCACUCCCGACCCUGUUUUCCUGGGUAUCACCAACAGAAGUGCAGAACAGCAAAGAUUGCUGCCCGUUCUUUCUUCUUGAAGCUUCAUCCCAGAGGGUCACCUGCUAGAUGCCAGCCAGAUCUCUUCUGUAUGACAUAUCUGUUGGCCUCUACUGGGAGGUGUCUCCGAGUCAGGAUACAUGGGGGUCAGGGACCAACUUGAGGAGGCAGUCUGACCCUUAGCAGAGCUCGAACACUGUGCUGUAAGGUCCCCUACUCUCUUCAGAGCCAUCAACUAGAGACGUAUUAUAUGCCAUGUGCAAAUAAGAAUGUAUAUUCUGGGAAGUGGUUCCAAGAUGGCCGAAUAGGAACAGCUCCAGUCUACAGCUCCCAGUGUGAGCAACACAGAAGAUGGGUGACUUCUGCAUUUCCAACUGAGGUAUCAGGUUCAUCUCACUGGGGUUCAUCGGACAGUGGGGGUAGGACAGUGGGUGCAGACCACUGAGCAUGAGCUAAAGCAGGGCAAGGCAUUGACUCACCCAGGAAGUGCAAGGGGUCAGGGAAUUCCCUUCCCUAGCCAAGGGAAGGGGUGACAGAUGGCACCUGGAAAAUCGGGUCACUCCCACCGUACUACUGCACUUUUCCAAUGGUCUUAGCAAAUGGAACACCAAGAGAUUAUAUCCCGUGCCUGGCUUGGAGGGUCCCAUGCCCAAGGGGCCUCGCUCAUUGCUAGCACAGCAGUCUGAGAUCAAACUGCAAGGCAGCAGCGAGGCUGGGAGAGGGCCAACCACCAUGGCUGAGGCUUCAGUAGGUAAACAAAGUGGUCAGGAAGCUCGCACUGGGUGGAGCCCACCACAGCUCAAAGAGGCCUGCCUGCCUCUGUAGACUCCACCUCUGGGGGCAGGGCAUAGCCGAACAAAAGGCAGCAGAAACCUCUGCAGACUUAAAUGUUCCUGUCUGACAGCUUUGAAGAGAGUAGUGGUUCUCCCAGCACAGAGUCUGAGACCGGAGAACAAACAGACUGCCUCCUCAAGUGGGUCCCUGAUCCCCGAGUAGCCUAACUGGGAGGCACCCCCCAGUAGGGGCAGACUGACACCUCACACGGCCGGGUACCCCUCUGAGACCAAGCUUCCAGAGGAAUGAUCAGGCAGCAACAUUUGCCGUUCAGCAAUAUUUGCUGUUUCGCAGCCUCUGCUGCUGAUACCCAGGCAAACAGGGUCUGGAGUGGACCUCCAGCAAACUCCAACAGGACGUGCAGCUGAGAAUCCUGAUUGUUAGAAGGAAACCUAACAAACAGAAAGGACAUCCACACCAAAACCCCAUCUGUAUGUCACCAUCAUCAAAGAACAAAGGUAUAUAAAACCACAAAUAUGGGGAGAAAAUAGAGCAGAAAAGCUGAAAUCUAAAAAUGAGAGCACCUAUCCCCCUCCAAAGGAACACAGCUCCUGGCCAGCAAUGGAACAAAGCUGGACAGAGAAUGACUUUCAUGAAUUCAGAGAAGGAGGCUUCAGACUAUCAAAGUUCUCCAAGAUAAAGGAGGAAGUUCGAAGCAAUCGCACAGAAGCUAAAAACCUUGAAAAAAGAUUAGACUAAUGGCUAACCAGAAUAACCAGUGUAGGGAAGUCCUUAAAUGACCUGUUGGAGCUGAAAACCAUGGCAUGAGAACUAUGUGAUGAAUGCACAAGCUUCAGUAGCCAAUUCAAUCAACUGCAAGAAAGGGUAUCAGUGAUUGAAGAUCAAAUGAAUGAAAUGAAGUGAGAAGAGAA